rnacentral:lncRNA from 1 species
UUUGUCUUUUUUCUUCCUAGACUGUGAGCCCCUGGAGUUCAGGGACCAUUUCUUAAUCAUAUUCCAGAACCUAUCACAAUGAAUGACACGAAGAAUAUAUUUGAUAAAAAUCUGAUGAAUGAACCACUCUAAAAUGCAACUCUAAUAAAGAAAAUUACUGCCUAUUCAGUUGGAACUGUACCAUGUUACAAACGUAAAAUUAUGUAUAGUCUGAUAAAGAAAUACUAUAAUAGCCUUGGAAACAGCUCACAUACAAUUUUUUUUAUAAAUGGAUUCAUUACCAUAUAACUGGACCAGCUUACUGAAGAGUAGCCCUACAGCAGUCACUUCGCAGUUUGCAAUUCAUUUGAGGUUCAAAGCUAGCUCAAGGGAAAACAACGUUAGUAUUAACAAACUUAUUUUUAAGCUUAAGGUCAGAAUUUAAGGGAAAAUAAAUAAAUAUAGUAUGUUCUAAGAAUCCAAAGGAAUUUUUAAAAAUUGCCCCCUGCAGCUGUAAUUUCUGCAUGGAUGAGAAAACCUUAAUUGCUUGCUGGCUUCCAAGAAAGCCAUUAACCUGCAUUUAAAAAUUCAGCUUUCAUCAAGAACAACCUCACAUAUCCAGCUCUCAUGGAAAAAGGAAUAGAAGCCUCUGACCUAGUUUUCAAUUAUUACCAAACUACUGAUAAUUGAUCUCCUGGUCUCCAGGUUUGUUUGUUUUACUAAAAUAAAUUCCCUCUGGAGCUGCAGGUGCUUACCAUGGGGCUGCGCAGGUGGAAAGCAGCCCAGUCUUACUAUGAGGAUGUCCGUUUGCCAUCUGGGAACAAGGAGGAAGAAGCAGAGACCUGGGCAAGACCUCAGAGAAUAAAUUAUCUCAAUGGCUACUUACAUGGUCCAGCAUAGCAGAAAAAAAAGCCACACUGAGCAAGCAGUGGUCCUUUCCAUGCUACACAAGCAAGAAAUGCCUAUAAAGACAGACUUGAGUGCAGUCUAAAGAAUCUUUUGCUUUGCCUUAACACUCUACUUCUGGAUAUCCUUGCUCAAAAAGAAGUCUACUCAAGACAGGGAGGUUCCUGUGGACAGAAACAUCUGCUUCCUGCUUAUCCUGUAUCUCAGCAUCUGAAUGGUCAUGACUGGAACACAGGCAGACUUCAGAAAUAAAUACAUAAAUAUCUCAUACUCCUCGAAUCUUUUAGAAAAAGAGUGUGGGUAACAAUAAACAUAUCUGCUGAGAAAUGACCA